CCCAGUACAGGUAAGUACUUUAUAUAAGAGUUAGAGACAUGGCCUAAUCUAUAAUGCCAUAUUACAUUAUUCUCUGAUUUUGACAUGUUGCAGUAGGUAACAUUCUGAUCUCCAGGUUGUCUUGAAGUAGGUACACUUCUAAUUCAAGGUAGUAUAGUCCAACCUUUGUCUUCCCUAUAUCUAUGACUUUAUUACUCUGCAUAUCCUGUAUUACACACUUAUCAUGGAAGAAUGUCACUUUUGUAUGAGUCUAUUUGAUUAGGGUAUUGACAGAUAGCAGGUUACAUUUGAAAUUGGGAAUAUAAAAUACAUUUUUGAGUUUUAUUUUGUUGAAUAGUGUAACAUGACCUUUGUGAAUAACAAAUUGACAAGUUCCAUCAGGGAGAUAUACUGGUUUCUUUUUUUCAAGGGGCGUGAUUUUAUCAAAUAGGUAUGGGUUUGAACACAUAUGAUUUGUGACCUCUGUAUCCAUAAUCCAAGAUCUAUCUUUAUCUAACAUACUAACAACACAAAGAGAGGAUGACUGACCUGCAAAAUAUGUUGUGUUUGCAUUAGACGUCUCUAUUAUAAGUGUCUUUCCCUUCAUUAGCUUCAUGACUUCCUGCUGAACCAAAUUAGGUAGAUUGCUUGUCCAAUCAUCAUAGGCAUUAAACUUACAACAUUUGCCUAUUGUUUGCCUUUUUUUUUUUGUUUAAACUCUUUGUACUAACCAGGAUACCCAACCAGCUUGAAGCAUGAUUCUCUGACAUGUCUUCCUAUAUUGCAGCAUGUGCAAAAUCUUUCUUCCUUCUUGAAAUCUUUUUUCUUGAACCCAAACUUGAACUUAUUGGUUCCAUUGUCUCUCUUGAAGUUUUAAGAUUUGGCAAGCAUUACGACAGUUGUUUCACUUGAUUCGACCAGAUUUUCCUUUGUUUUUCUACUCUUAAUGCCAUUGAGUAGGUUUUGUUACUAUUUGGAAAUAGAUCCAUUAAUAGAAUUUGAUCUUUGACAUGUUCAUAUCCCUCAUUCAGUCUUAGAAAGAACUGUAUUAAUUUUUCAUUAUUCAGCUAUAGAUAUAGAUGCUCCACAAUUAUAAACAGGAAAUGGACAUAAACAUGACAUUUCUUCCCACAUUUUCUUUAGUUUUGUGAAGUAAACAACCAAGGACAUAUUUCUCUGAGUAAAACAACAAAUAUUCUUUUUGAUUUGAAACAAUAAUGGGCCAUUGUUCUGGCCAAAGCAUUAUUUCAAUUUUUCUCACAUAUCCUUAAUACAGACUGUGUAAAUGAAAGUUUCAACGAUUUCUUUGGAAAUAGACUUCAAGAUCCAUGAUGUUAUCAUACUGUCGACUCUUUCUCAUUUUUCAAGCGUAGGUGAGUCGACAAAAGGUAUUUCAAUCUUGCCAGUUAUGAAACCAAGUUUAUUUUUGACUUUUAGGACUAGGAUUACUAGCUCUGCUCCAUAAAAGGUAGUUAUUACUGGUUAAAGAAGCGCUUAAUAGAUUCAGACCUGGAUAAUAUGAAUUCUGCAAUUGUAGCCUUUAUUGCUAUCUGGCUUUCAGUUCUAGAACUUGCAGCUGCUUCAAUUGAUCUUGCUUUAGACUCUAAUACCAUAAACAAAAAAGUGUUUCUAGAGAAUAACAAAAAAAUUAAUCGAUAAUUAAAAUGGAAUAAGAAGAUGUAUUCUUAUUACUUAAUUGCUACUAUUUAUACACAGCUCAGAUAAGUGUCGCUCAGUUCAAUCAAUUGGCUUUUUUUUAUUAUAACAGUUUACUAACAAUUUAACUAAUUCUUACUAGCUAAUUUUCUUUUCGAGUUUUUUAGAACUUUAAUUCAGCUAGCUAAAAUAAAUAGUCUUUUAACUUCUACAUGGUUGAUACAUUAGAAAUGAUGAAGCCAAUUGAUGGAUGAGCCUUGACGAGAUGGUUGAUAAGAAGCGUAGCAGCGGAAUUUAACGGUGGAGCUGAACGUCGAGAAGCAGAAGGUAACGGUAGCUAUGGCCGUGGUGCAGCUACUAGUUGAAGAAAUUGAAGGGUUUAAAAGUUAGCAGGCCACAUAAAUAUGCCCAUAGCAAAUUUCAAGUAUAAAGCUCAAGGCCCAAACAUACAAAUCCUAAGCCUAGUGCCUGUAAAUCCAAUAAAAAAUCAGCCCACUGAAAACCUGAAGCCCUUAAGAUCCAGUUGAAACUUAACCAAGAAAAAGGCUAGACUCCUUAUUCAAAUAAAGGCUAGACUCUCUAACAAAAAUUAUUCAAAUAAAGCUAAAUUUUUAAAAGCAACCAAUAAAUCACAAGGAUAUUUAAAUAUUUUAAAAAAGUUUACUUCCACUUUCUCUCUAAUAUAGAGAAAAUAAAGGAUGGAUUAAGUAUCAAAUAAUAAAUCCUAAUCAUGGAAACUUUUGACUUAACUUCUCUGUUAUUAUAAUGAUCAAUUGAUCUUAUCUGCACCAGUAAAAAUGAAGUGGGUCUCUUUACCUGGUGAAGAAGACAUUAUAAAACUUUCCACCAAAGAGAAUCCAAAGGUGAUUUGACUAAUCAGAAUCACUGUAAAAAAAAUGGAACUUGCUCCAUGAAGAAUGUGUUUUUAUUCUCCUAAAAUUUUGUAAAUUAAUAGAACUUUACAUUUUGUGUGAUUUUAAUAAAAAAUUCAAUUCUAUAAAAUUAAUUAUAACUAAAACCAAUUUGUUAAUUUGGGGAAAAUUACAGAAUAAUAAUUUUAGAGCCGUGUGAUUUUAAUAGAACUUUCAUUGUUUCAACUUUUUAUACAUAGAGAUUCUCUGCUUCAGCUCUACAUAUAUACUAUCUUAAAAACAAAAAUAACACUACCUCCGAGUUUCAAAAACUAUACUUAGUACAGUUGCCCACAAAAUGAAAAUAAACAAAGACUAGUUAAAUCAAUUAUGUGAAACCCAACCUUCUAUUCUUCCAGAAGCUCAAGAGGACGUACAGUGCCAUCAUUCUCUGUUCUGAGUUCUACAAUUUUUGACAUUUUCUCUAAUUGAAGUGACUGGACUGGACCUUCAAAUUCAUUGGAAGAAAAAACUUAACUUUUCUUCAGUUUCUUAAUCCAAUCUUGAUUCUUGAUCAGAUUUCUCGGCAAAAUGACUUUCUUUUGACAUGGGGUGAAUUCUCUCUGUGUUCUCUUGAUCUGCACUCAGUUUUGUUCUGUUUCUUCACUUUCCAGAGGUGAGCCCCAAAAUCUGCAAGCUACAGCGCAGACCUGCUUCUCGUCAAUAACAACGCAUUCUUUGGUGGUGAAAUACUUGAGGAAACAUACAUCUUAUUUUCCUCAUCUUCCACUUCACUUUCUUGCCCUGCAUCUUCACUUGUGUUGCCAAAUUUUGGUUCAACUUUUGAUGAAUCCUCACGGAUUUUGCUUUCUCUCCUGACACCGACCUUAAAAAACAUUACCCACUUGCGCCAUGAGAGCAAAGUACACUUUGGCCGGAAUGUUCUUUUCCCCUCGAUUUUCUCUUAACCA
rnacentral:lncRNA from 1 species